CAAGCCUUGGUGCAAACUUCAAGUGGACUGUUCAGACGGCCGAUUUCGAAAUUGGCGGUGCUAAACAUAGUUGAUCGUGAAGUGAAGGACCCCGAAGGUCCUCACAGGGAGGGGGAUGUUGCAACGACCGCCGUUCUAGCAACCCGGCCAAUGAAGUGCGUUACCACGAACCAAUAGGUAGGCUCAGUAAGCAAACGAAACUGUCUAGAUGAGCAAGGAAUAGUUGUAUGAGUAAUGUUAAUAAUUCGGCAUUGAGAGAACUUGUCAUGACAAAGCAGAUUUGCAGAAAAUCACGAGAUAGUUGGAUUCGCGAAAUAGUUUAAUUUGUUAUAAAACUUUAAUUUGUAAUAUUAUUACCACGUACCCUUAAUAUUUCGGAUUCACUGCAAGCAAGAACUUAGAUUGUGCUCAAUUCUAUUUGGUAUAGACCUACAAAACCCUUGUUAAACAGUAACUAGGCAAUCAGUGGAUCAAUUUGAAGGUGC